UACGUAGGGACCAAGCGUUGUUCGGAUUUACUGGGCGUAAAGGGCGCGUAGGCGGCGUGACAAGUCACUUGUGAAAUCUCCGGGCUUAACUCGGAACGGCCAAGUGAUACUGUCGUGCUAGAGUGCAGAAGGGGCAAUCGGAAUUCCUGGUGUAGCGGUGAAAUGCGUAGAUAUCAGGAGGAACACCGGUGGUGUAGACGGCUUUCUGGACCGUAACUGACGCUGGAGACACGAAAGCGUGGGUAGCAAACAGG
rnacentral:rRNA from 1 species